rnacentral:rRNA from 1 species
UACGGGGGGGGCAAGCGUUGUUCGGAAUUACUGGGCGUAAAGGGUGCGUAGGCGGCUUUCUAAGUUGGAUGUGAAAACUAUGGGCUCAACCCAUAGCCUGCAUCCAAAACUGGAGAGCUGGGUUCUGGAGGGGAAAGCGGAAUUCCUGGUGUAGCGGUGAAAUGCGUAGAUAUCAGGAGGAACACCGGUGGCGAAGGCGGCAUCCUGGACCGGUAUUGACGCUGGAGGCGACGGAAAGCCAAGGGGAGGCAAACGGGAUUCAGAUACC